UCGUAUAAAAUGGAGGUGCUGGGGCUGUCGCUGACCUUUGAAAAAGGUCGUGCACGCCCGGAGCACUCUCUCAUAUCCAUCUCACCCCUUUGUGCAUUGCCGCGUGGGUCCCCCUUUCAAGGGGGGCUCGCGUUUUCACACAAACUUGAAGUAGUGUAGAAUGUUCUUGCGAUGACUCGCAAUAAAUA
rnacentral:misc_RNA from 1 species